rnacentral:piRNA from 1 species
UGAGGCUUUGUCAGUAAGGUCCUGGUC